GCAGGAAAUGCAGGUUCGAUCCCUCAGUUGGGAAGAUCCCCUGGAGAAGGGAAUGCACUCCACUCCAGUAUUCUUGCCAGGAGAAUCCCAUGGACAGAGGAGCCUGGUGGGCUACAGUUCAUGGCAUUGCAAAGGAGUCGGACACAACUUAGCCACUAAACAACAAUAAAACAGCAAAAUAUGUAGUGUUAAAAUCUUUUUUAUAUCCAUUGGGAAAAACAAAAAAAUGCCUAUGACUCAUUAUUUUGGAAUUUUCCUUACUACAGUGUCCUGGAGCCAAACUUGCAGUGUCUUCAAGGUCUGCCUGUGUACAGUAAGAAGUGUUUGGACAUUCACCACUAUCAAGAUACUGCAGCAGUGCCAUUCACAGCCUGGGGUAAAGAGGAAUCACCGUAUGUUGAACAUGGGGAAAAGGAAAACUGAGUCUUGACAGCUUGGCCAGACCAUGGAGAUCAUUGGGUCCUGCCUUGUCAUUUCACGGAGGAGAAGCCAGGGCCCAGAGGAGGCCUCACGGGUGUCCGAGCCCAGCCAGACAUGGAACUGAGCUGAUGGCAGAGCUUCCCUGAAGAGGCCACACCAGCUCCAGAACCUUCAGGAAGCCCUUCCCACCUGCUCACUUCUUCCUGCCUGUGGUGGGCCUGGGAGAGUCCAGGACAUGGGCAGAAGAAGUCUAUAGAGGCUCUGUUCCUGUUGUGUGGGUGUGGGUCCAGUUGGAGUCAUCACUUCCCCCAGGGAGAAGGUUUAUUGGACAAGUAGACACGACAGAAUGGAAUGUCUGCUCCCGGCCUGGCCACGGAUUUGGCUCUUUGCCCCCUAGAAAUUGGUUUCACCUAAGCCAAGACACUGGUUAUCAGAUGGGAGUGGCAUUUUGUCAUCACAGCCUUGGGUCACUGGAAGCCUAGAGGUGAAUGUCUUUGGGACAUAUUUCCCAGAUGAGAGCAUCAGGGCACCCUUUGGAUGUGAAUGUGUGGAGGGAAGGAAUGUGUUCUGGGGACCCCGUGAACUGAUCGAUUCCCAGCAGGACGUUGGACAUGAGGAUGCAGGUACACGAACACCAAUGACACUUCAGUCAAGAAAGGAUACUCAGUGAAGAGCCUCCCAAAUGCCAUCCAUGGGACAUGGAGGGAACAGUCUGGAGAAACUGCAAACUGCCAGGGCUGCGUUAUUUGUAAACUGAAAGUGGGAACCGGUUUGUGUCACUGAUGCCAGUUGAGUUCAGUCACUCAGUCGUGUCCAACUCUUUGUGACCCCAUGAAUCACAGCACACCAGGCCUCCCUGUCCAUCACCAUCUCCAGGAGUUCACUCAGAC
ensembl:lncRNA